GCCGUUGGGAGACUUGAUCUCUUAGUGGCGCAGUUAACGCGAUAAGUAGACCGCCUGGGGAGUACGGCCGCAAGGUUAAAACUCAAAUGAAUUGACGGGGGCCCGCACAAGCGGUGGAGCAUGUGGUUUAAUUCGACGCAACGCGAAGAACCUUACCAGGUCUUGACAUCCUAGAAACUUAGCAGAGAUGCUUUGGUGCCUUCGGGAAUCUAGUGACAGGUGCUGCAUGGCUGUCGUCAGCUCGUGUCGUGAGAUGUUGGGUUAAGUCCCGUAACGAGCGCAACCCUUGUCCUUAGUUGCCAGCACGUAAUGGUGGGAACUCUAAGGAGACUGCCGGUGACAAACCGGAGGAAGGUGGGGACGACGUCAAGUCAUCAUGGCCCUUACGACCUGGGCUACACACGUGCUACAAUGGCCAGUACAGAGGGCUGCAAGCCCGCGAGGGGGAGCUAAUCUCACAAAGCUGGUCGUAGUCCGGAUCGCAGUCUGCAACUCGACUGCGUGAAGUUGGAAUCGCUAGUAAUCGUGAAUCAGAAUGUCACGGUGAAUACGUUCCCGGGCCUUGUACACACCGCCCGUCACACCAUGGGAGUAGGUUGCAAAAGAAGUAGCUAGGCUAACCUUAGGGGGGCCGGUUACCACUUUGUGAUUUAUGACUGGGGUG
rnacentral:rRNA from 1 species